rnacentral:rRNA from 1 species
AGAGUUUGAUCCUGGCUCAGAAUGAACGCUGGCGGCGUGCCUAACACAUGCAAGUCGCACGAGAACGUUUCAGCUUGCUGAAACUAGUAAAGUGGCGCACGGGUGAGUAACGCGUGGGUAAUCUACCUCCGAAUUGGGGAUAACAUUGCGAAAGCGACGCUAAUACCGGAUAAUAUCUCAAGAACCUCGGUUCUUGAGAUCAAAGGUGGCCUCUACAUGGAAGCUACCGUUUGGAGAUGAGCCCGCGUACCAUUAGCUUGUUGGUAGGGUAAUGGCCUACCAAGGCGACGAUGGUUAGCUGGUCUGAGAGGAUGAUCAGCCACACUGGAACUGAAACACGGUCCAGACUCCUACGGGAGGCAGCAGUGAGGAAUUUUGCGCAAUGGGGGAAACCCUGACGCAGCAACGCCGCGUGAGUGAUGAAGGCCUUCGGGUCGUAAAGCUCUGUCAAGUGGGAAGAACCUGCCCUGUGCUAAUAUCACCGGGCAUUGACGGUACCACUGAAGGAAGCACCGGCUAACUCCGUGCCAGCAGCCGCGGUAACACGGAGGGUGCAAGCGUUAUUCGGAAUCACUGGGCGUAAAGAGCGCGUAGGCGGUUUCUUAAGUCAGAUGUGAAAGCCCGGGGCUUAACCCCGGAAGUGCAUUUGAAACUAAGGGACUUGAGUAUGGGAGAGGGAAGUGGAAUUCCUGGUGUAGCGGUGAAAUGCGUAGAUAUCAGGAGGAACACCGGUGGCGAUGGCGACUUCCUGGACCAAUACUGACGCUGAGGCGCGAAGGCGUGGGGAGCAAACAGGAUUAGAUACCCUGGUAGUCCACGCAGUAAACGUUGAACACUAGGUGUAGCGGGUAUUGACCCCUGCUGUGCCGCAGCUAACGCAUUAAGUGUUCCGCCUGGGGAGUACGGCCGCAAGGCUAAAACUUAAAGGAAUUGACGG